rnacentral:rRNA from 1 species
ACACUCCUGCGGGAGGCAGCAGUGGGGAAUUUUGGACAAUGGGCGAAAGCCUGAUCCAGCAAUGCCGCGUGAGUGAAGAAGGCCUUCGGGUUGUAAAGCUCUUUUGUCAGGGAAGAAACGGUGAAAGCUAAUAUCUUUUGCUAAUGACGCUACCUGAAGAAUAAGCACCGGCUAACUACGUGCCAGCAGCCGCGGUAAUACGUAGGGUGCAAGCGUUAAUCGGAAUUACUGGGCGUAAAGCGUGCGCAGGCGGUUUUGUAAGUCUGAUGUGAAAUCCCCGGGCUCAACCUGGGAAUUGCAUUGGAGACUGCAAGGCUAGAAUCUGGCAGAGGGGGGUAGAAUUCCACGUGUAGCAGUGAAAUGCGUAGAUAUGUGGAGGAAAACCGAUGGCGAAGGCAGCCCCCUGGGUCAAGAUUGACGCUCAUGCACGAAAGCAUGGGGAGCAAACAGGAUUAGAAACCCCUGUAGUCCCA